AGCAGCCGCGGUAAUUCCAGCUCCAAUAGCGUAUAUUAAAGUUGUUGCAGUUAAAAAGCUCGUAGUUGAAUUUCGGGAUCAAUGUUUCGGUCAUGCCGUUGGUAUGUACUGAUAUUAUUGAUUUCUCACCUUCUAAAGAACCGUAAUGCCAUUAAUUUGGUGUCACGGGGAAUUAGGACUGUUACCUUGAAAAAUUGAGUGUUUAAAGCAGGCUCACGCUUGAAUACAUUAGCAUGGAAUAAUGAAAUAGGACAUCCGAUUCUAUUUUGUUGGUUUCUAGGAUCGAUGUAAUGAUUAAUAGGGAUAGUUGGGGGCAUUAGUAU
rnacentral:misc_RNA from 1 species